rnacentral:rRNA from 1 species
CUAGCAUAUCAAUAAGCGGAGGAAAAGAAACCAACAGGGAUUGCCCUAGUAACGGCGAGCGAAGCGGCAACAGCUCAAAUUUGAAAUCUGGCUACUUUGUAGUCCGAGUUGUAAUUUGUAGAGGAUGCUUUUGGUGAGGUGCCUUCCGAGUUCCCUGGAACGGGACGCCAGAGAGGGUGAGAGCCCCGUACGGUUGGAUACCAAACCUUUGUAUAGCUCCUUCAACGAGUCGAGUAGUUUGGGAAUGCUGCUCUAAAUGGGAGGUAUAUCUCUUCUAAAGCUAAAUAUAGGCUAGAGACCGAUAGCGCACAAGUAGAGUGAUCGAAAGAUGAAAAGCACUUUGAAAAGAGAGUUAAACAGCACGUGAAAUUGUUGAAAGGGAAGCGCCUAUGACCAGACUUGUUUCUUUCAGUUUUGUUAGUUCUCGGACUGAUUUACUCUGUUAGUACAGGCCAGCAUCAGUUUGUUGUCGGGGAGAAAGGCUUAGGGAAUGUGGCUCCUUCGGGAGUGUUAUAGCCCUUUGCAUAAUACCCUUCGGCAGACUGAGGACCGCGCUUCGGCAAGGAUGCUGGCGUAAUGGUCAUCAGCGACCCGUCUUGAAACACGGACCAAGGAGUCAACCUUAUGUGCGAGUGUUUGGGUGUAAAACCCCAGCGCGUAAUGAACGUGAACGUAGGUGAGAGCUUCGGCGCAUCAUCGACCGAUUCUGAUGUUCUCGGAUGGAUUUGAGUAAGAGCACACAGGGUUGGACCCGAAAGAAGGUGAACUAUGCUUGUAUAGGGUGAAGCCAGAGGAAACUCUGGUGGAGGCUCGCAGCGGUUCUGACGUGCAAAUCGAUCGUCAAAUAUGAGCAUGGGGGCGAAAGACUAAUCGAACCUUCUAGUAGCUGGUUCAGCCGAGUUCCCCUCCAGGA